rnacentral:rRNA from 1 species
UACAGAGGGGCGAGCGUUGUUCGGAAUUACUGGGCGUAAAGGGCGCGUAGGCGGCCUCUUAAGUCGAACGUGAAAUCCCCGGGCUCAACCCGGGAACUGCGUCCGAUACUGGGGGCUUGAAUCCGGGAGAGGGAUGUGGAAUUCCAGGUGUAGCGGUGAAAUGCGCAGAUAAUCAGGAGGAACACCGGUGGCGAAAGGCGGGUCUC